ensembl:lncRNA
ACCAAAGGGAGGGGGGAUGAGCAGAGUCGGGUGGGGCGCUGUUGAAGCCCACUGAGCAUGCGCUCACAGGCGGAGCGUCCCGAGGCGGAGGUAGUCUGUGAGUAGCGUGUAGAGGGAAAGUUCGCUGGACUUUUCUCAGCGUGGGAGGCGAGUUGAGCUGAGACAGAAGGCGAUGGCCUGGGUCGGGAGUGGAGGAGCUGGGGAAGGAGAGGAAGGGAAGGGGAGGGGGGUUGCAGGGAGAAAGACUAGAGGAAGGAAAAAAGCGGUCAGUUGAGUUGGGGAGGAAGAGAGCAGCCAGAUUGAGGGAAGACAGUGGGGGGAAAAAGGGCGGGAAGAAGGCUUCCAACCUCUAGACAGCAUGCCUCGCUAGUCUUACCAAUUUUCCCGCCCUCACACCCUCGGGGAAGACUCGGGUUUUCAAACCCUUUCCCGCCCUCCCCCCUUCUCGUUCUUCCCCAGUAAACUCCCCCCUUUUUUUAAGUCCCUCCCUCUCAGCCCCUGCCAGAUUGGAAGGGCGACCCCUUGGCGGAAGGAUUAGGCUUGUGGUGAGGUCUGGGAGGGCGUUCGCGUGUAGGGCUCCGUGGGAGUAAGCCCGGGCGUCUUAACCGUCGUUCUUCCGAAGGAGCCAACCCGGGACAUAGCCGAAUGCCCCUGGCGGAGCAGGUCUUCAGGCCAUGGGCCUGGGCGAUCGAUGCCCUGUGGCCUUUUUGGUGGAAGGAAAGAGCAGAGCAGAGCACAGGCUGCCGUUGCAGGAGAAUGUUGCCUCAAUAGAUUGAAUUUGAUCAAGGCAUCCUUUCCUUCUGCCUUUCUAACUCAGAUACCAGAAGAGCAGACCAACAGCUUUGAAAAUAUCACAUCCACUUUCACCUCGGCAGAUAAUGGGUGGAAUGAAGUGUGGAAGACUAUCUCCUGGCCUCCACUGACUUGGCAGGAUAGGGAAUGUGGUCCAUUGAGGAGGUUUGUCAGUUGAAAAAGUAGCCUCUUUAUUGUUUUUGCCUCAUAUCCUUUUACACCUGGAGGCAAAGGACCUUAUAUCUGGAUGGAUUGAGGUUUUGAAGACUCACAUUGCCUACUGGCCUCUACUGCCUGGGCAAGCAGGGAAAUUUGACCCACUGAGGAAUUUUUAUCAGUUGAAAAAGUAGCCUCUUUAUUGUGUUUGCCUCUUCUAUCCCUUUACAUCCAGAGGCAGAAAACCUUAUAUCUGGAUGGAAUGAAGUUUUGAGGACUUACACUGCCUGUUGGCCUCCACUGCUUUGGCAGGCAAGAGAGUCUGGCCCACUGAAGAGUUUUUAUCAGUUGAAAAGUUAGCCUCUUUAUUGUUUUAGCCUCCUACAUCCCCUUUCAUCUAGAAACAGAGUACCCUUCAAAAUGGGUAGAAGGACAUGUUGAAGACACUCACUGUCUAUUGGCCUCUUACUGCCUUGGCAUCUGACCCACUGAAGAAUUUUAUCAGUUGAAAAAUUAGCCUCUUUAUUAUUAUAGCCUGUUUAGCUGACAACAUGAUGAGUGACUGAAUGAAGAAAUGGAUGAGGAAAAAAAAUUGACAGGGCAACUCAUCAUUAUCCUUGCCUGUUUCUUCAAGGAGAACCAUAAUCUUGACAUUGCUUUUGAAAUCACUAGUUAUUCUUGGGGAAUGAUGGAGCAAUAGGACUUGAUGUUCUGGAUAGCAGACUGAGACCCUUAAGGCCAGGUGCCUGCAUAGGCCCAGGAUGGAGAACCCACGGCUUUGGCUGAAUGCUUCCUACAGAGAAUGAGUAGGGUUGGUCUAACUGCCAGGGGAUCCUCAUCCUGGGGGAAAUCAAACUUUGAUGAUGGACAAAUUAUACAAACCUGUGAAUCUACCUCAUUUGACUGACAGAAGGAAGUUCUCCAAAUUACCCUCUUGGAGAGUGAUACCACUUGAGAUUUUCAAAACUGACUUAGAAAAACUAAUAGAGCAUUUGGGUAGCAGCUCUGAAAAUCUUCACCCUAACCUCAUUCAUCAGGGUUGUGUAUAUUGGCCUGUGAGGACCACCAGUAAAUAAAAAUACCAAUUUGGAGUAGGACUGCA